rnacentral:rRNA from 1 species
CACUGUCGUACGGGUGCGUAACGCGUAUGCAACCUACCUAUCACUGGGGGAUAGCCCGGGGAAACCCGGAUUAAUACCGCAUAAAACAGGGGCACCGCAUGGUGAUAUUUGUUAAAGAUUUAUUGGUGAUAGAUGGGCAUGCGUUCGAUUAGCUAGUUGGCGGGGUAACGGCCCACCAAGGCGACGAUCGAUAGGGGAGCUGAGAGGUUGNUCCCCCACACGGGCACUGAGAUACGGGCCCGACUCCUACGGGAGGCAGCAGUAGGGAAUAUUGGGCAAUGGAUGCAAGUCUGACCCAGCCAUGCCGCGUGCCGGAUGAAGGCCCUCAGGGUUGUAAACGGCUUUUAUUCGGGAAGAAGAGCAGGGAUGCGUCCUUGUGUGACGGUACCGAAUGAAUNAGCACCGGCUAA